rnacentral:rRNA from 1 species
GACGUAGGUGGCGAGCGUUGUCCGGAUUUACUGGGCGUAAAGAGCGCGCAGGCGGUCGUUCAAGUCGGGUGUGAAAGCCCCCGGCUCAACUGGGGAGGGUCACGCGAUACUGAUCGACUCGAAGGCAGGAGAGGGAAGUGGAAUUCCCGGUGUAGUGGUGAAAUGCGUAGAUAUCGGGAGGAACACCAGUGGCGAAGGCGACUUCCUGGCCUGUUCUUGACGCUGAGGCGCGAAAGCUAGGGGAGCAAACGGG